UAGGAUCUGAAUGGACGCAACUUCCGGUCUCCUCUGUCUUUAGGCGAGAGUUCUCAAAAUCCCCCUCAACCCCGUCUGCAUCAGGCAACUCCUCGACCACACCGCUGGCCUCCGCCCUCUCCGCACCGGCGACCUCCCCUCCCCUCCUCUCCCUUCCCUUCCCCCAUAUCGAGAAGGGAGGCCAUGGUGCUCCCGACAUGGCUGGAUCCAUACCAAGCCCGUGGGGUUCCAGCUCGACCUCCUCGCAUCGACCACGGCAGCGGGAUCCGCGGAUGCAUGGACACGGCGGUGCAAGCGCGCAGACGCAACCUUGAGAAGAGAGGAGGUAGGGCGGCCAUGGCGUUCCCGCCGCAGCAGGGUCACUGGCUCCACCACGAGCUCCUCGCAGUUGCCAGUGACGACGGCAGCUCCGAACCCUAGCGAUGCUCCUGCUCGUCUUUCUCCACACCUCUGCUCCUGCCCGUCUUCCUUGGCGCCAUAUUCAGCACCUACAAGAAUGCAACUUCCUCUCCCAUUAUAGGGGAUUGUAACUCCUCAAACCCCCAUCCUUCCUUCCCUUCCACUCUGCUCCGUGAUGCAAAAUUUUCUAUUUUUUUCAUGAUUCACCACUCGCAAUGGAGUUGCAAGCAGGAGGGACAUGGGUCAAGCAUCUGUAUGUGUUGCUGAAUUUGAUUGAUUGUUCUUGAUUGUUGAGUAAUUCCUGUUAGUUGUUACAUGUGAUUUUGCUGAAUUCAUUGUUGAUUGUUGAUUUUCGAGAGAAAAUCCAGGUGAGUGGUUGUAUGCUGGCGCUGGCUCAACCCGCAGUCAUUUUUAAAAUGUCUAAUCCGAGAAAAAAAAGGAAACACUAGCGGGCAGCACAGACGAUCACGGGCUCGUUCGAAGCGUAUGGGUAGGGCGGCGGUGCUGGCGCCGAUCUACACAGCGGCCUAUCUACUUCUCCGGCCAUCCGCCGCCGCCGGCCGGAUUCCUCCUGCUCAUGUGCCUCUGAUUUGGAUCGAAGUCACAGCAGCAGUGGUGCGGCGGCAGCGGGGGAGGAGGUGAGUGUGGCGGCUAUGGGUGGUGAGGCCUGAAGAUGAGGUUGUCCUUGUAGGAGGAUGCCGGGGACAGGCAUCGCGCUGAGGGUGGCGCAUCGAAGUUGGAGGUCGGCGUGUGUUCCGGCAGUGGGUGGAGGGGCAGCCGCGCGAUGGUGGGGAGAAGCUGGUUCAUGUCCAUGGCCGAACCAUCGGGGCUGGGGGUUUCUUCCCGGAUUGUUGAUGAAUAUACUUGGGGAUUUGUGAUUCUUGUGUCCCUUGAUGCGGUGCGAGAUUCAAUGGGAUUUGGGGCGAGGAAGAUGGUGGUGCGAUUCGGGGGGAUCAUGCCUCGGAUUCUUGGGGUCGCCGGGGAUGCGGUGGUUGAAGGAGAAGAUGGUGGAGGGAGGGAGGGAGGGAGGAGGAGGGGGAGGCUUCAGAUUUCAAAAAGAGACCUGGCUCGUUCGGUACUGCCAAUUCCUUUGGUGUGGAUUUUGAGUUGUUAAGAACCCUUGAUUGAUGCAAAUCUUAAUUUUGUUUUGUGUGGAGCAUUAGUGUUGGGGAUAUCUUGUUAAACAUCCAGUUCCCCUGACAUGCAUGAACUGUUCAGUAUAGGAUGCCCAUCUUAUGCAGCUAUGUUUGCUCUUUUUACAUUGUUUUCUAUCAUGUGUUAUGUUUGCAACAUUUCCCUAUACUCUGAUUGAUAACAUGUAUUUUGAUGUUUUUGCCUAAUUUGUGUGUGCCUUGGUUUUGUAGGAAGUUGUCAAAUCUUGGUCUGAAGGGAAUGUUAUCUCCUGAGAUUGGACAGCUUAAUAAUAUGCAUUUUCUAGGUUUGCGCACUUUUCCCCACAAGACUCGAUCUCCUCCGUUGGAUUUCUCGCACUACAUGGUGUUUGAGAAACGGAUGACCGAGACACAGUCUUCAGAAGCGAUAGCACCUU